CCUACGGGAGGCUGCAGUGAGGAAUAUUGGUCAAUGGCCGCAGGGCUAAACCAGCCAAGUCGCGUGAGGGUUGACGGUCCUCUGGAUUUUAAACCUCUUUUGUCAGGAAGCAAAGGGCGCCACGUGUGUCGUUUUCCGAUUACCUGAAUAAAAAGCAUCGGCCAACUCCGUGCCAGCAGCCGCGGUAAUACGGAGGAUGCGAGCGUUAUCCGGAUUUAUUGGGUUUAAAGGGUGCGCAGGCGGAAUGUGAAGUCAGCGGUAAAAUUUCGGGGUCCAACCCCGUCGUGCCGGUGAAACUGGCAGUCUUGAGUGAGCGAGAAGUAUGCGGAAUGCGUGGUGUAGAGGUGAAAGGCAUAGAUAGCACGCAGAACUCCGAUUGCGAAGGCAGCAUACCGGCGCUCAACUGACGCUCAUGCACGAAAGCGUGGGUAUCGAACAGGAUUAGAUACCCCGGUAGUC
rnacentral:rRNA from 1 species